GGGUUAUUGGUGGUGUCGUUAUUGUGUAACUAACAACGUGUCUGAAACAACACACCCACUCCCGGAGCCGUUGGGUUUCUCCUCCAUUUGUCACCGCUGCAUGAGUCGACUCAGCCCCGCUCCCAGCACUAAAAUGGGGGAAGGGGUUGAGGAGGGGGAUGUACACUAAUGAAUGAAACCAAAACCUCUGCCACUGACACUGCCCCUCUACCAAAACCUGUGGCCUCUCCUUCACUGCAGCCAACGUGUUAUUUAAACGUGUUAUCCCUCGCAAGGCUGUAGGCCCAGACGGCAUCCCCAGCCGCGUCCUCAGAGCAUGCGCAGACCAGCUGGCUGGACAUAUUCAAUCAAUCCUUAUCCCAGUCUGCUGUCCCCACAUGCUUCAAGAGGGCCACCAUUGUCCCUGUUCCCAAGAAAGCUAAGGUAACUGAGAUAAACGACUACUGCCCCGUAGCACUCACUUCCGUCAUCAUGAAGUGCUUUGAGAGACUAGUCAAGGACCAUAUCACCUCCACCCUACCUGACACCCUAGACCCACUCCAAUUUGCUUACCGCCUCCAUAGGUCCACAGACGACGCAAUUGCAACCACACUGCCCUAACCCAUCUGGACAAGAGGAAGACCUAUGUGAGAAUGCUGUUCAUCAACUACAGCUCAGCAUUCAACACCAUAGUACCCUCCAAACUCGUCAUCAAGCUCGAGACCCUGGGUCUCAACCCCGCCCUGUGCAACUGGGUACUGGACUUCCUGAAGGGCCGCCCCCACGUGGUGAGUGUAGAACAACAUCUCCACUCUGCUGAUCCUCAACACUGGGGCCCCACAAGGGUGCGUUCUGAGCCCUCUCCUGUACUCCCUGUUCACCCACGACUGUGUGGCCAUGCACGCCUCCAACUCAAUCAUCAAGUUUGCAGACGACACUACAGUGGUAGGCUUGAUUACCAACAAUGACGAGACGGCCUACAGGGAGGAAGUGAGGUCCCUCGGAGUGUGGUGUCAGGAAAAUAACCUCACACUCAACUUCACAAAACAACGGAGAUGAUUGUGGACUUCAGGAAACAGCAGAGGGAGCACCCCCCUAUCCACAUCGACGGGACAGUAAUGGAGAGGGUAGUAAGCUUUAAGUUCCUCGG
ensembl:lncRNA